rnacentral:rRNA from 1 species
ACGACUCUCGGCAACGGAUAUCUCGACUCUCGCAUCGAUGAAGAACGUAGCAAAAUGCGAUACUUGGUGUGAAUUGCAGAAUCCCAUGAACCAUCGAAUCUUUGAAUGCAAGUUGCGCCCGAAGCCAAUAGGCCGAGGGCACUUCUGCCUGGGCAUCAUGCAUCGUGUCGCCCCCGCACACCGUGCCCAGAAUCAUGGUCGUGGUGGUGUCAUGGGAUGGAUACUGGCCUAAAUGUGAGUCCACGACGACGGACGUCAGGACAAGUAGUGUUGAAACUCAACUCUCAUAAUGUCGCGGCUCUAACCCGUCACAUGUUUGGGCUCCCCGACCCUUAUUGUGAUUAGGCACUCUGAACGCGACCCCAGGUCAGGCAGGACUACCCAUUGAGUUUAAGCAUAUCAAUAAGCAAAGGAAAAGAAACUUACAAGGAUUCCCCUAGUAACGGCGAGCGAACCGGGAACAACCUAACCUUAGAAUCGGGCGGCUUCGUCAUCUUAAUUGUAGUCUGGAGAAGCGUCCUCAACGGUGGACCGGGCCCAAGUCCCCUGGAAGGGGGUGGCAGAAAGGGUGAGAGAUCUGUUGUGUCCGGACCCUGUCACAGCACGAGGCGCUGUCUACGAGUCAGGUUGUUUGGGAAUGCAACCCAAAUCGGAAAGUGAAUUCCGUCCAAGGCUAAAUAUUGGCAAGAGACUGAUUGCGAACAAGUACCACGAGGGAAAGAUGAAAAGGACUUUGAAAAGAGAGUCAAAGAGUGCUUGAAAUUGUCGGGAGAUAAGUGGAUGGGGGUCAGCGAUGUGCCCCGGUCGGAUGUGGAAUGGUGAUGAGCCGGUCCGCCUAUCGACUCUAGGCGUGGACCAGCGGUGAUUGGGGAGGCAGCCAAAGCCCAAGCUUUUGAUACGCUCGUGGAAUGCCAUCUCCUUAAUUGUGGUACACAACGCGCACCUCUGGCAUGCUUCGGCAUCUGCGCGCUCCGGACACUGGCAUGUGGGCUCCCCAUUCGACCCGUCUUGAAACACGGACCAAGGAGUCUGACAUGUGUGCAAGUCAACGAGCGAGUAAACCCAUCAGGCAUAAGAAAGCUGAUUGGUGGGAUCCCCCUGAGGGGUUCACCACCGACCGACCUUGAUCUUCUGUGAAGGGUUUGAGUGUGAGCAUACCUGUCAGGACCUGAAAGAUGGUGAACUAUGCCUGAGCGGGGCAAAGCCAGAGGAAACUCUCUUGGAGGCCCGCAGUGAUACUGACGUGCAAAUCGUUCGUCUGACUUGGGUAUAGGGGCGAAAGACUAAUCGAACUCUCUAGUAGCUGGUUCCCUCCGAAGUUUCCCUUAGUAUAGCUGGAGCACGCGUGUGAGUUCUAUCGGGUAAAGCCAAUGAUUAGAGGCAUUGGGGAUGCAACUCCCUCGACCUAUUCUCAAACUUUAAAUAGGUAGGACAGUGCAACUGCUUUGUUAAGCCACACCACGAAAUCAAGAGCUCCAAGUGGGCCAUUUUUGGUAAGCAGAACUGGCGAUGCGGGAUGAACCGGAAGCCGGGUUACGGUGCCAAACUGCGCGCUAACCUAGAUCCCACAAAGGGUGUUGGUCGAUUAAGACAGCAGGACGGUGGUCAUGGAAGUCGAAAUCCGCUAAGGAGUGUGUAACAACUCACCUGCCGAAUCAACUAGCCCCGAAAAUGGAUGGCGCUUAAGCGCGCGACCUACACNUAACUCACAUGUCGAAUCAACUAGCCCAGAAAAUGGAUGGUGAUUAAGCGCGCGACCUAUACCCAGUCGUUGGGGCAAGUGCUAGGCCCUGAUGAGUAGGAGGGCGUGGCGAUCGCUGCAAAACCUUAGACGUGAGCCUGGGCGGAGCGGCCAUCGGUGCAGAUCUUGGUAGUAGUAGCAAAUAUUAAAAUGACAACUUUGAAGGCCGAAUAGGGGAAAGGUUCCAUGUGAAUGGCACUUGCACAUGGGUUAGUCAAUCCUAAGGGUCGGGGGAACCCCGACAGAUAGCUCGUUUCCCGCGUACUCCAAAAGGGAAUCGGGUUAAAAUUCCUGAACCGGGAUGUGGUGGUUGAGGACAACGUUAGGAAAUCUGGAGACGUCGGCAGGGGACUCGGGAAGUGUUAUCUUUCGAUUUAACAGCAUGCCCACCUUGGAAACAACUCAGUCGGAGGUACGGUCCAGCGGCUGGAAGAGCAUCGCACAUCGCGUGGUGUCCGGUGCUCCCCCGGCGGCCCUUGAAAAUCCGGAGGACCGAGUGUCGUCCAUGCCCGGUCGUACUCAUAACCGCAUCAGGUCUCCAAGAUGAACAACCUCUGGUUGAUGGAACAAUGUAGCAAGGGAAGUCGGCAAAAUGGAUCAGCGGGGAAAGAAUACCCCGUUGAGCUUGACUCUAGUCCGACUUUGUGAAAUGACAUGAGAGGUGUAGUAUAAGUGGGAGCCGAAAGGAGAAAGUGAAAUACCACUACUUUUAACUUUAUUUUACUUAUUCCAUGAAUUGGAAGCGGGGCACUGCCCUUCUUUUUGGACCCAAGGCUUUCUUGCAGGCCGAUCAGGGCGGAAGACAUUGUCAGGUGGGGAGUUUUGCUGGGGAGGCACAUCUGUUAAAAGAUAACGUAUGUGUCCUAAGAUGAGCUCAAUAAGAACAAAAAUCUCAUGUGGAAUAAAAGGGUAAAAUCUUGUUUGAUUUUGAUUUCUAGUACGAAUACGAACCGUGAAAGCGUGGCCUAGCGAUCAUUUAGACCUUCGGAAUUUGAAACUAGAGGUGUCAGAAAAGUUACCAUAGGGAUAACUGGCUUGUGGCAGCCAAGCGUUCAUAGCGACAUUGAUUUUUGAUCCUUCGAUGUCGGCUCUUCCUAUCAUUGUGAAGCAGAAUUCACUAAGUGUUGGAUUGUUCACCCACCAAUAGGGAACGUGAGCUGGGUUUAGACCGUCGUGAGACAGGUUAGUUUUACCCUACUGAUGACAGUGUCGCAAUAGUAAUUCAACCUAGUACGAGAGGAACCGUUGAUUCGCACAAUUGGUCAUCGCGCUUNCCGCAUAAUUGGUCAUCGCGCUUGGUUGAAAAACCAGUAGCGCGAAGCUAUCGUGCACUGCAUUAUGACUGAAUGCCUCUAAGUCAGAAUCCGAUCUAGAAGUGACGCAUGCGCCCGCCGUCCACUUGCCGACCCGCAGUAGGGGUCUUUGGCCCCCAAGGGCACGUGUCUUUGGCUAAGUCAUCACGGCAGAAGAUCCGGGUGGUUGAAACUAGGACGGUAUCUGGUCGUUCUUGAUUAAUGAAAACAUCCUUGGCAAAUGCUUUCAUAGUUGUUCGUCUUUCAUAAAUCAAAGAAUUUCACCU